ACAACAUUCGGACCGUCGGUCUAUCGAGCGAUAACACCCGUUCGGUUGAAGAUCUUUCUUCCCUUUGUCGU
rnacentral:pre_miRNA from 1 species